CUGGCGAUUCGCGCGGGAGGCGGCGCGGGAGCGCGGCCUGGAGGGGCUGGCCUAGCUGGGGCUCGUGGCCCUGCGUCGUCUGGCUGCGACGCGGGUCCUGCGCACGCUGCGGGGCCGCAGCCGCCGGGAGGUGAGCGCCCGAGGGGCCGGGAGGCGAGCCGGGGACCCCAGGUGGGUGUGGGCAUCGUGUCCACAGCCAGCGUCCCCGAAGCCGCGCUCGGGCCGUGAUCACUCGGUGAAGCUGCGCUGCGACACAGCAGCCGACUUCUUCCCGCGCUGUGAGGACCUGUGUGCGCUGCAGGACUCAGUGCCUCUCUGCCUGCGGGAGGGCCUGCUGGACUUAACGCUAACCCCUUCCACGGGGUGGACUGGGUGCCGCCCCUGAGCACCCUCUGCCCCUGAUCUGUAUCCAGAGCUUCUUCCAGGCACAGCUGGGCGAGACAGUAUCAGACUAUCAGAAGGCACGAAGAAACCUGGGCUGAGAGUCUUCAUUCCAGGAGACCUGAUCUUGACUGUAUGGCUGGUUUGAGACGCAUCACUCUGAACUGCGACAUGCUCAUUGGUGACCUGGGUGCAAGUGCUUUUGCAGAAUCUCUUAGUGAGGAUUUGUGGCUUAUAACGGUACUUUUGGGCUUCCCUGGUGGCGCAGUGGUCGAGAGUCCGCCUGCCGAUGCAGGGGACACGGGUUCGUGCCCCGAUCCGGGAAGAUCCCACAUGCUGCGGAGCGGCUGUGCCCGUGAGCCGUGGCCGCUGAGCCUGUGCGCCUGGAGCCUGUUUCUCCACAACAGGAGAGGCCACAACAGUGAGAGGCCCGCGUACCGCAAAAAAAAAAAAGCAACACAAAAACAACAACAAAAAACCCCCGAUACUUUACUAAUGUUAUACGUCCCUUAUGUUUUUAGCAGAUAAUUUACUCAUUAAAGUGAGUUAUACUUGUAAAUUGUUCUCAUCUCUACUCAGAAAGAGGUGCACCUAGAUACUAAGCCUGCUUCCACCAAGAGCAUUGUUUCUUUCUUGUGCAACCUCUGAAUUCUUGCAAGGAGUACUUUAUUCGUUUGUCAGUUUCACAAGUAAUUAUUUUAAUACCUAUUGUGUGCCAGAUACGUGUUUAGGCACUAGGGAUAAAGCAGUGAACCAGACACACAAAAGUCUUGCCCUCAUGGAGCUUACAUUCUAGUGAAGGAGUUCAGAUAGAAAUGAGUAAACAGAUAAGUAAUAUAAUUUUAGAUAGUAGGAGGUGCAAAAAUAUGUUAAUGUAAAGAGAGUGAGCGGGGGCAGGUAGGACUCCAUUGGACAGGUUUGUUAGGGGACAGCUUCACUGGAGAAGUGGCAUUUGAACGGAGACCUGAAUGAAGAGAGGAGCAAGCCAUGGAAAAUCUGGGAUCAUUGUGUGAUGAAAGCAGUUAUCCAGAAAGUUCUCCAGAUGGAAGGAGUGCCAAGUCAGAGUACCAGUGGAUAACUUCUCCAUCGUGAAGGAACCAUCCAAAGCUGCUAGACAGAAAAAGAGAACUCUAAUUCGGGGAAGUGACCGAAAAGGAAAAGCUACUAUUAGAGUUGGUAACUCUUCUGAACUAUACCCCUUAUGUUUUCUGGUGUGCUAAAAUUAAAGCAGCCAAUAUUAACCACAUGCAUAUUAGGAAGCCUAUGAUUAUUUUGAGACUUAUGAGAAUUUAUAGAAUAUAGAUAUAAUAAAUGAAUUUAAAGAGAUGUUAAUAUUAACCAACAUAUUGUUUGGAUCUCAUAAAAACUUCGUUAUUUUGAAAAUAUUUCCUGGUUGAUAAUUACUUCUGACACUUUGCAGUUGUAAUUUGGGGUGCACUUUGAUGAUAAUUUUAGUAGUGGUGCUUUUGAGGAAUGAUUUUUUUUAAAUGCAGAAUUACCUUUUGCGCUACAAGAAACAAAAUUUCUUCUCAGUUCCAACCUUCCCAUUGUUUCCUGCUUCUUUCUUAGAAAUGCUUACCUAAAUUUUUGAAUCAGGUAAUAUCUUGUUUCUGUGAAUGAUUAAAAAAACUUGAAAUAGGUAUGAUCCUUAUAAAAGACUUCUACAGACAAGUUUAUUUACCUAGAUUGAACAUUUUAGAAAACAAUUUUCUAAAUGUUUACUGUAAUGUAUAUUUAAUUUUCCAAAUGGUAGUUAACCCAGGAUUUUACAACUAAGCCUAUUAUUUUGUUACGAAAUGUAAUUGUAAUAGAAAGCUUUUAAAAGCCUUUAACAAUCAGUGGUGUAAGUUUCACAUUCUCCUGAAUAUAUAAAUUUCCUAGAAUUCACUUCUACUGAUAACGUUUGUAUUGUUUCUAAGAGACCUUAACUUUUUAUUUUCUGGAACAUAUUAUGGUUAGUCACAAAUUGUCCUUUUUUGUUGGUGAUAAGAAUGAAUAGCAGGAGGAGCAUUUGUGAAACCAAAUCUAAUAUGAAACUAACUCUUUCUUGUGAGUAACUUUGAAUUUUGAAACAGCAGAACAAUAAGGUUGAAUAUAAAGCAAAAUAAAUUUUUUUAUGUUUAUGAUCUGCCAAUUUCCCAGAAAGAGUUUUGUGGUGACUUUAGUUAUAUACCAGAUACAUUAAAAUCACCAAUGGACAACACAUCUUUUAUUCAGGUGCCCUCUGAAAGUUUUAAAAAUUUGUUGACUUAAUAUCACUGAACGGUCCACUUUAAAAUGGUUAAAAUGAUAAAUUUUCUGUUUUGUGUAGUUUACCACAAUUUUUUUUAAAUGUGUUGUUUGAAGAUUUGGGGGUUUUAUAAAGGUAUUGAAUUAGCAUAAGAAUGAAAAAUUUAAAAGACUACCUCUAAUUCCAUUAUCCUAUCAAGCAAUAUUUACAUUUUUAUUUUCUCUUCCUGCUGUCCAUAAACAUAAUUCCACGUAGCUUCAAUAUAAUUUGCCAUUCUUCUCUUUUCAUACUAAAUUUAAAUUCUGUGAUUCAUAGUUAUACUUUUUAACAUUGUAUUUACAAGGUUUUAAUUGAGUUGGUCAAUUUUUUAAAUUGGUGAAAAACUGGAAAUAACCUAAAAUAAACUAUUGUAAACAUCUUCAUAAAUACAGCUUUUUUUUUUCUACUUAAAGAUGUAUUUUUGUUUUUGUUUUUGUUUCUUGUGGUACGGGGCCUCUCACUGUUGUGGCCUACUCCCGUUGUGGAGCACAGGCUCCGGACC